rnacentral:rRNA from 1 species
UACGAAGGGUGCAAACGUUGCUCGGAAUUACUGGGCGUAAAGGGCUCGUAGGCGGCCAACUAAGUCACACGUGAAAUCCCCAGGCUUAACCUGGGAACUGCGUGUGAUACUGGAUGGCUUGAAUCCGGGAGAGGGAUGCAGAAUUCCAGGUGUAGCGGUGAAAUGCGUAGAUAUCUGGAGGAAUACCGGUGGCGAAGGCGGCAUCCUGGACCGGCAUUGACGCUGAUGAGCGAAAGCUAGGGGAGCAAACGGG